rnacentral:tRNA from 1 species
GGGAAUCUGGCCGAGCGGACGAAGGCGGCAGACUGUAAAUCUGUUUCUCCAGCGAGACGCGGAGGUUCGAAUCCUUCGAUUCCCA